UCCAAGUUAAAAAAAAAAUAGAAAAGGAAAGGGAAAAAAAAAGGAGAGAUCUAGAAACGGUCGUCUCUUCUUGGCCGACGAACAAUCAGAUUGAAAUUGAUGGUGCUAUUCAAAGUUAUACAACAUAUAUUUGAGAAAGACAACUUCAGAAAUAAGAAAUCGAAAGAUCCUUAUGUAAAAGGUUUAGUUUUCACAGAUGAAGAGUUUCUUAGAUCUGAAAUUAUGUCACAGAAGAAGAUCAACCGUAUCAAAUGUUGGGGACUUUAACACAUCUGAAGAAUCGAACAAAGUUAAAUCAGACAUAUAAUCUGAGUUCAGAUGUAAUGGUGGUGCUGCUCCGUGGUGAUACAAUUAGCUGAAGAAAUCCCCUAUAUAUUAAAAGAGAAGCAUUACAAUAUAUUUUUGUAGCCACAUGUCAUCAC